CAGCAGCCGCGGUAAUACGCAGGGGGCUAGCGUUGUCCGGAAUUAUUGGGCGUAGAGGGCUCGCAGGCGGUUUCUUAAGUCUGAUGUGAAAGCCCCCGGCUCAACCGGGGAGGGUCAUUGGAAACUGGGAAACUUGAGUGCAGAAGAGGAGAGUGGAAUUCCACGUGUAGCGGUGAAAUGCGUAGAGAUGUGGAGGAACACCAGUGGCGAAGGCGACUCUCUGGUCUGUAACUGACGCUGAGGAGCGAAAGCGUGGGGAGCGAACAGGAUUAGAUACCCCUGUAGUCCCUGUCUCUUAUAA
rnacentral:rRNA from 1 species